rnacentral:rRNA from 1 species
UGAAUUAUAGAAGGGCAUACGGUGAAUGCCUUGGCGUUAGGAGGCGAUGAAGGACGUAGGAGCCUGCGAUAAGCUCGGGUUAGCUGGCAAACAAGUGUUUGACCCCGAGAUUUCCGAAUGGGGAAACCCAAUCCUGGUAAUACGGGAUUACCAACGUAAGUUGGAGCCAACGGAGGGAACUGAAACAUCUAAGUACCUCCAGGAAAGGACAUCAAUUGAGACUCCCCUAGUAGUGGCGAGCGAACGGGGAAUAGCCCAAACCGAUCUAGUGUAAGCAUGCAAGCGUUGCUGGGUCGGGGUUGUAGGGCGUACUGCUAACCAACUGCAUUUGGUUAACGGAGUUACAAAGUUAUGAAUUAGUGGAAGCAGCUGGGAAGCUGCGGCGUAGAGGGUGAGACCCCCGUACACGAAAAUUCAUGACCUCCGGAGUACGUUCCUGAGUACGGUGGGACACGAGAAACCCCGCCGGAAUCUGGGAGGACCAUCUUCCAAGGCUAAGUACUACCUAGCGACCGAUAGUGAACAAGUACCGUGAGGGAAAGGUGAAAAGAACCCCGAAAGGGAAGUGAAAUAGACCCUGAAACCGUAUGCCUACAAACAGUGGGAGCUCUUCGGAGUGACCGCGUACCUUUUGCAUAAUGAGUCAGCGAGUUGUGGUUCGUGGCAAGGUUAAGCCGAUAGGUGUAGCCGUAGGGAAACCGAGUCUGAAUAGGGCGUAUAGUCGCGGGCUGCAGACCCGAAACCAAGUGAGCUACCCAUGGCCAGGUUGAAGCGUUGGUAAAACUUCGUGGAGGACCGAACCCACAUAUGUUGAAAAAUAUGGGGAUGAGCUGUGGGUAGGAGUGAAAGGCUAAUCAAACUUGGAAAUAGCUGGUUCUCCCCGAAAUGCAUUGAGGUGCAGCGUCGAGUAGCACCAACGGAGGUAGAGCACUGACAGGAUGCGGGGCCGCGAGGCUACCAAACCCUAUCAAACUCCGAAUUCCGUUGAGUGACGCUCGGCAGUGAGACUGCGGGGGAUAAGCUCCGUGGUCAAAAGGGAAAGAGCCCAGAGUACCGGCUAAGGCCCCAAAGUGUGUGCUAAGUGGUCAAGGAUGUGGGGAAACCCAGACAACCAGGAGGUUGGCUUAGAAGCAGCCACCCUUUAAAGAAAGCGUAAUAGCUCACUGGUCGAGUUGCCCUGCGCCGUAAAUAUAACGGGGCUAAGCACGCCGCCGAAGCCGUGCGUUCGCGUAAGCGAGCGGUAGGGGAGCGUUCCAUAUGCAGUGAAGGUGUAUCGCGAGGUGCACUGGAGGGUAUGGAAGUGAGAAUGCUGACGUGAGUAACGAUAAAGGGGGUGAAAAACCCCCUCGCCGUAAACCUAAGGUUUCCUGUCCAAGGUUAAUCCGGGCAGGGUUAGUCGGCCCCUAAGGUGUAGCCGAAAGGCGAAGCCGAUGGGAAACGGGUUAAUAUUCCCGUACCACCAGUAAUGAGUAAAGCAGGGACGGAGAAGGGUAGAUGAUCGGGCUGAUGGAUUAGCCCGUUUAAGCCUGUAGGUAUUAGGACCGUAGGAAAAAAACGCGGACCUAGCCAAGAGGUGAAUACGAGCCCGUAGGGCGAAGUCAUUGAUCCCACGCUUCCAAGAAAAGCUGCGGACUACGUUGAUUUACUGGUGACCGUACCGCAAACCAACUCAGGUAGGUAGGUGGAGAACACUAAGGCGCUUGAGAGAACUCGGGUUAAGGAAUUAGGCAAAUUAGCACCGUAACUUCGGGAUAAGGUGUGCCCUCAAGGUGAAAGGACUUGCUCCUAGAGCUGUCGAGGGUUGCAACAAAGCAGCGGUAGCGACUGUUUACCAAAAACACAGGACUCUGCUAAGCCGCAAGGCGAUGUAUAGGGUCUGACGCCUGCCCGGUGCUGGAAGGUUAAGAGGCGUUGUUAGGAUUCGUCCGAAGCAGCAAAUUGAAGCCCCAGUAAACGGCGGCCGUAACUAUAACGGUCCUAAGGUAGCGAAAUUCCUUGUCGGGUAAGUUCCGACCUGCACGAAUGGCGUAACGACUUCCGCACUGUCUCGACCCGAGACUCAGUGAAAUCGACAUUGGGGUGAAGAUGCCCCAUACCCGCAGAAAGACGGAAAGACCCUGUGAACCUUUACUCUAGCUUGGCAGUGGUAUUCGAUUCAGUUUGUGUAGGAUAGGUGGGAGACUUUGAAACCGCGGCGCCAGUCGUGGUGGAGUCAACCUUGAAAUACCACCCUGAUUGUAUUGGAUGCCUAACCCCUUAAAAAUGGGGGACAUUGUCUGGUGGGGAGUUUGACUGGGGCGGUCGCCUCCUAAAUAGUAACGGAGGCGCACAAAGGUUCUCUCAGCCUGAUUGGAAACCAGGCGCAGAGUGCAAUGGCAUAAGAGAGCUUAACUGCGAGACUGACAAGUCGAGCAGAUGGGAAACCAGGUCAUAGUGAUCCGGCGGUCUCCGAAUGGAAGGGCCGUCGCUCAACGAAUAAAAGGUACUCCGGGGAUAACAGGCUGAUCGCGCCCAAGAGUUCACAUCGACGGCGCGGUUUGGCACCUCGAUGUCGGCUCAUCGCAUCCUGGGGCUGUAGCAGGUCCCAAGGGUUGGGCUGUUCGCCCAUUAAAGCGGUACGCGAGCUGGGUUCAGAACGUCGUGAGACAGUUCGGUCCCUAUCUUCUGUGGGCGUUGGAGAGUUGAGAGGAGCUGUCCUCAGUACGAGAGGACCGGGAUGGACGUACCUAUGGUGUUCCAAUUGUCACGCCAGUGGCAUUGUUGGGUAGCUACGUACGGAAGGGAUAACCGCUGAAAGCAUCUAAGUGGGAAGCCCCCCUCAAGAUUAGCUCUCCCUGAAGGGCCCUGGAAGACUACCAGGUUGAUAGGUCGGGUGUGUAAGCGCAGCAAUGCGUUCAGCUAACCGAUACUAAUUGCCCGUUUGUUUUCCUCUAA